GUUUAAGUAGUUUAAAAAAAAUUUUGGUUUGUGGGACCAAAGAUGUAAUAUUUUAUCUUAAACC
rnacentral:tRNA from 1 species